rnacentral:rRNA from 1 species
CCUACGGGUGGCAGCAGUGAGGAAUAUUGGUCAAUGGACGAGAGUCUGAACCAGCCAAGUAGCGUGAAGGAUGACUGCCCUAUGGGUUGUAAACUUCUUUUAUAAAGGAAUAAAACGAGGCACGUGUGCCUUUUUGCAUGUACUCUAUGAAUAAGCAUCGGCUAACUCCGUGCCAGCAGCCGCGGUAAUACGGAGGAUCCGAGCGUUAUCCGGAUUUAUUGGGUUUAAAGGGUGCGUAGAUGGGUUGUUAAGUCAGUUGUGAAAGUUUGCGGCUCAACCGUAAAAUUGCAAUUGAUACUGGCAGUCUUGAGUACAGUUGAGGUAGGCGGAAUGCGUGGGGUAGCGGUGAAAUGCUUAGAUAUCACGAAGAACCCCGAUUGCGAAGGCAGCUUACUAAACUGUAACUGACGUUGAUGCUCGAAAGUGUGGGUAUCGAACAGGAUUAGAUACCCGUGUAGUC